rnacentral:tRNA from 1 species
UGCUUAGAUAGCUUAUAUAGAGCGUAACACUGAAAAUGUUAGGGAAAUUUAUAUUUCUAGGUAU